UAUAACUAAUAAUUUUCAAACAAGUCGUGUUACACGAAGUUGCUUAGAAUUGCAAUUGGGCAACUGCAAGCAAGUGCAUGGGUGUCCAUAUCAAAAACAAUUUGACUUUGUUUAAACAAGACCAAAUACUCAACAACAUUCAUAUUUUUCUAUCUUCUCCUCCGAUGGACACCGAUGCCGUCACAACGCCCAUAUCCACCGUUCGACGGCGGAAUUCCAUCGAAACACCCUCCAAUUUCACACUCCACACCGAUCACCACCAUCCGACGUCUUCCUCAUCUUCACCAGCCGAUUUCGAGCUAGUUUCUCUAAAACCGGCUUCCUACACCUCCCUUCGCGAUAUCCUCCCAACCACCGCGGCCUCCGUCCAGUCGCCCAAAGUCCCCUCAUUCGUAGUACAUCCCGGUUACGAGAUUUCUAUCCGAAACCGGCUUGUGAAACAGGCUGCCUGGGCAUACCUGCAGCCUGUUUCCAUCUCUCCGGACUCAGAUGGAACCACCAUCUUCCAUCGCCUCUGGACCCGAUUUUCGGAUGCUUUCGUCCGGCUAGCAACCGGAAUCUGUGAUUGCUUUCUCCGGUCUGUUCAAAUCAGAAGUACAAGCUCCAGACUAUAACCUUUGCAAAUAGACUUGGAUAUGAAGAUACAUUGAAGUCCGAGAUUGUUGAAGCCCAUAUCCAGUCCGAGUUUUUGUUUGCAUGGCUGUGUUAUAUAAACAACACUAUGCUGUAAGAUUUUAAGUGAGACAGUCUGAGAAAGCAGUUACAGAGUGUGAGAGAAAACACAGAGAAAGGUUGUGAGUUCUUGUGAUUUCUUGAGUGGUUGUAAACGUUACGUUUGAUAAUCAUAGAAGAUCGGUUGAAAA